rnacentral:rRNA from 1 species
GAUGAACGCUAGCGGCAGGCUUAACACAUGCAAGUCGAGGGGUAUAGUUCUUCGGAACUAGAGACCGGCGCACGGGUGCGUAACGCGUAUGCAAUCUACCUUUUACAGGGGAAUAGCCCAGAGAAAUUUGGAUUAAUGCCCCAUAGUAUAAUUUAUUCGCAUGAGUAGAUUAUUAAAGUUCCAACGGUAAAAGAUGAGCAUGCGUCCCAUUAGCUAGAUGGUAAGGUAACGGCUUACCAUGGCGACGAUGGGUAGGGGUCCUGAGAGGGAGAUCCCCCACACUGGUACUGAGACACGGACCAGACUCCUACGGGAGGCAGCAGUGAGGAAUAUUGGUCAAUGGACGCAAGUCUGAACCAGCCAUGCCGCGUGCAGGAUGACGGUCCUAUGGAUUGUAAACUGCUUUUGUACGAGAAGAAACACUCCUACGUGUAGGAGCUUGACGGUAUCGUAAGAAUAAGGAUCGGCUAACUCCGUG